rnacentral:rRNA from 1 species
GAUGAACGCUGGCGGCGUGCUUAACACAUGCAAGUCGAACGAAGCAUUUAAGACAGAUUCCUUCGGUUUGAAGUCUUUUAUGACUGAGUGGCGGACGGGUGUGUAACGCGUGGGUAACCUGCCUCAUACAGGGGGAUAGCAGCUGGAAACGGCUGGUAAUACCGCAUAAGCGCACAGUACCACAUGGUACAGUGUGAAAAACUCCGGUGGUAUGAGAUGGACCCGCGUCUGAUUAGCUUGUUGGCGGGGUAACGGCCCACCAAGGCGACGAUCAGUAGCCGACCUGAGAGGGUGACCGGCCACAGUGGGACUGAGACACGGCCCAGACUCCUACGGGAGGCAGCAGUGGGGAAUAUUGCACAAUGGAGGAAACUCUGAUGCAGCGACGCCGCGUGAGUGAAGAAGUAGUUCGCUAUGUAAAGCUCUAUCAGCAGGGAAGAUAGUGACGGUACCUGACUAAGAAGCUCCGGCUAAAUACGUG